rnacentral:rRNA from 1 species
CCUACGGGGGGCUGCAGUGGGGAAUAUUGCACAAUGGGCGCAAGCCUGAUGCAGCCAUGCCGCGUGUGUGAAGAAGGCCUUCGGGUUGUAAAGCACUUUCAGCGGGGAGGAAGGCGGUGAGGUUAAUAACCUCAUCGAUUGACGUUACCCGCAGAAGAAGCACCGGCUAACUCCGUGCCAGCAGCCGCGGUAAUACGGAGGGUGCAAGCGUUAAUCGGAAUUACUGGGCGUAAGGCGCACGCAGGCGGUCUGUCAAGUCGGAUGUGAAAUCCCCGGGCUCAACCUGGGAACUGCAUUCGAAACUGGCAGGCUAGAGUCUUGUAGAGGGGGGUAGAAUUCCAGGUGUAGCGGUGAAAUGCGUAGAGAUCUGGAGGAAUACCGGUGGCGAAGGCGGCCCCCUGGACAAAGACUGACGCUCAGGUGCGAAAGCGUGGGGAGCAAACAGGAUUAGAUACCCGGGUAGUC